rnacentral:rRNA from 1 species
UCUGGUGAUGAUGGCAUAGAGGAAACACUCCUUCCCAUUCCGAACAGGAAAGUUAAGCUCUAUAGCGCUGAUGGUAC